rnacentral:rRNA from 1 species
UACGAAGGGGACUAGCGUUGUUCGGAAUCACUGGGCGUAAAGCGCACGUAGGCGGUUUUGUAAGUCAGGGGUGAAAUCCCGGGGCUCAACCUCGGAACUGCCUUUGAUACUGCGGAUCUUGAGUCCGAUAGAGGUGGGUGGAAUUCCUAGUGUAGAGGUGAAAUUCGUAGAUAUUAGGAAGAACACCGGUGGCGAAGGCGGCCCACUGGAUCGGUACUGACGUUGAGGUGCGAAAGCGUGGGGAGCAAACAGG